AAAACGACUCUCGGCAACGGAUAUCUCGGCUCUCGCAUCGAUAAAGAACGUAGCGAAAUGCGAUACUUGGUGUGAAUUGCAGAAUCCCGUGAACCAUCAAGUCUUUGAACGCAAGUUGCGCCCCAAGCCAUUAGGCCGAGGGCACGUCUGCCUGGGUGUCACGC
rnacentral:rRNA from 1 species